rnacentral:lncRNA from 1 species
AAUCAAUAUUGACCAGUCACUUUAGUAUAUUAUUUUGGCCUUUUUCCUGCUGCCUCAUUUCUCUCCUGCAUAUUGGCCUGGGGGCUCGACCAUCUUAGGGGUGAGUAUAUUUCUUAAUGGGCUUGGGCAUGCAAUCUACUUGUGUAGAUAAAUAUGGUUUUCCAUUGUUGCAUUUACUCUAAUUUGUUGAUCCUAGUUGAUGAAGGGAAGAUUGCAUUUACUCUAACCAAUGUGAUUAUUGUUUUAUCUAAGAUCUUUUUUCUUUUCUGUGUCUUAGAGCUUGAUGCAAAGAUUCUUCAUUUUGUUU